GACGGAGGAUGCAAGCGUUAUCCGGAAUGAUUGGGCGUAAAGCGUCCGCAGGUGGCAGUUCAAGUCUGCUGUCAAAGACCGGGGCUUAACUUCGGAAAGGCAGUGGAAACUGAACAGCUAGAGUAUGGUAGGGGCAGAGGGAAUUCCUGGUGUAGCGGUGAAAUGCGUAGAGAUCAGGAAGAACAUCGGUGGCGAAGGCGCUCUGCUGAACCAUAACUGACACUCAGGACGAAAGCUAGGGGAGCGAAUGGG
rnacentral:rRNA from 1 species